rnacentral:rRNA from 1 species
GAGACAGGUGGUGCAUGGUUGUCGUCAGCUCGUGUCGUGAGAUGUUGGGUUAAGUCCCGCAACGAGCGCAACCCUUACGGUUAGUUGAUACAGUGAGAUGAUCACUCUAGCCGGACUGCCGUUGACAAAACGGAGGAAGGUGGGGACGACGUCAAAUCAUCAUGCCCCUUAUGACCUGGGCUACACACGUACUACAAUGGCAGUCAUACAGAGGGAAGCAAAAUGGUGACAUGGAGCAAAUCCCUAAAAGCUGUCCCAGUUCAGAUUGCAGGCUGCAACCCGCCUGCAUGAAGUCGGAAUUGCUAGUAAUCGCGGAUCAGCAUGCCACGGUGAAUACGUUCCCGGGCCUUGUACACACCGCCCGUCACACCAUGAGAGCCGGUAAUACCCGAAGUCCGUAGCCUAACCGAAAGGGGGGCGCGGCCGAAGGUAGGACUGGUAAUUAGGGUGAAGUCGUAACAAGGUAGCCGUAUCGGAAGGUGCGGUUGGAUCACCUC